rnacentral:lncRNA from 1 species
AAAUUUCCAAGGAAACUAUAUUUCAUACAUUGAUGGAAAUGUAUGGAAAGCAUACAGUUGGACCGAGAAACUAAUUCUCAGUGAAAAUUAUUUGACUGAAUUACAUAAGGAUUCAUUUGAAGGCCUGCUAUCCCUCCAGUAUUUAUAAAUUUAUCCUGCAAUAAAAUACGAUAUAUUGAAAGACAUACAUUUGAAUCACUACCAUUUUUGCAGUAUAUAAAUCUGGGCUGCAAUUUAAUUACAGAACUGAGCCUUGGAACAUUUCAGGCCUGGCACGGAAUGCAGUUUUUACACAACUU